rnacentral:rRNA from 1 species
GACGUAGGGGGCCAGCGUUGUUCGGAAUUACUGGGUGUAAAGGGUUCGUAGGCGGUGCGGCAAGUUGGGAGUGAAAUCUCUGGGCUUAACCCAGAGGCUGCUUCCAAAACUGCUGUGCUUGAGUGUGGGAGAGGCGCGUGGAAUUGCAGGUGUAGCGGUGAAAUGCGUAGAUAUCUGCAGGAACACCCGUGGCGAAAGCGGCGCGCUGGACCACUACUGACGCUGAGGAACGAAAAGCUAGGGGGAGCAAAACAGG